CGCGGAGUAGAGAAGUGGUAUCUCGCAAGGCUCAUAACCUUGAGGCCGUAGGUUCGAUUCCUACCUCCGCAACCA
rnacentral:tRNA from 1 species